GCAUUGCAAACGAGUUGGUCAUUUUUGAAAAUUAAUUACAGUUAAAGUUUUAAUCAUGAAUUGUCCUUGUGGAAGUGGCUGCAAAUGUGCCACCCAAUCUCAGAGUGGACGCUGUGCCUGCGGCUCUUCAUGCAAAUGUGCUACAAACAAAAAGUAAUUUGCAUAUCUUCGUUUAUGUACUACAACUAUGUACACGUAUGUUUACAACGUGUUUAGGAAACGCUGACUCAAGCACAAAACCAGAGUGAGAUAACCAAUUGAGAGAACAUACUCGAAUUUCAAUUAACAACGACGUGACGAAACCCACAAGCCACAGACGCUCGAACACUCAUCCACACAACCGAAAGCUUGGCCCUUUGCGCACUGCACUACAAACCAGCCCAGAGAAAAGGCGUGAAAGACGAAAUGAAAAUAGUUUCGAAUGAACCAGAAGAGUAAGUUCUCAGUAGGUAAGAAAAGAAAAUUUGUUAUUGUAUUUACUCGUUCUACAAUUGCAUAUAAAAGCAUAACACAACCGGCUUUCGUGAGCAGUGAGCGAGCAAUUGCAUUAGAUAAAGUAGUAGACGGAACGAUUUAUUAACGCAAAUCAGUUUUA